CCCCUCUCAGGGUCGCACCUGGAGAGUUUCUAGUACUCUACCAGUCUCAACUAGGAGAGUAAGAGUCAAGCAGAGGCCUAUCCAUUCCAUUCCUAGCUUGGGCAUUGGCUAGCGAAUGGAAGGCAAUCUGCUACAAGU
rnacentral:snoRNA from 1 species